AUGUACCCUGUAGCUUGGGCUGUAGUCGAAAAAGAAACAUAUGCGUCCUGGUUCUGGUUUGUUGAGAAGUUAAACAGAGACCUCAAAAUCAGUAAUCAAGGGGAUGUGUGGGUGUUCAUCUCAGACCAGCAGAAAGGACUAAUAGGGGCUAUAGAGGAUAUUCUUCCAAAAGCAGAACAUAGGAUGUGUGCAAGGCACAUUUACUCCAACUGGAAGAAAAAACAUAAUGACAAAGAUUUGCAAAAGAGAUUCUGGAGAUGUGCGAAGGCUCCUAACAGGUCUCUGUUCAACUAUAACAGAGCACGGUUGGCUCAAUUCACAGUUGAAGGAGCAAAGGACAUGAUGAAUACAAACCCAAUUCACUGGAGUAGGGCUUACAUGAAGCUGGGAAGCUACUGUGAUUCAGUUGACAAUAAUAUGUGUGAGUCAUUCAACAACUGGAUUAUGGAAUCAAGAUAUCUACCUAUUAUAUCUAUGAUGGAGUGGAUAAGAUGCAAAAUUAUGGUGAGGAUACAAGAAUGCAUUACCAAGUGUUUGAAAUGGUCAGGAAUCAUAUGCCCAAACAUAUUUAAAAACUGA
rnacentral:rRNA from 1 species